GAUUUAUCGCUAUUUUACUGAGCCACACUAUGUCCAUUGGAUAACUUGGAUUUCAGGUCUUGUUCAGACAUUGCUCUAUGCUGAUUUCUUCUACUAUUACUUCCAGAGCUGGAAGAACAACGAGAAGCUUCACUUACCAGCUUGAGACAUUAUUAGGCCAAGGUUGGAAGUAGCAUACACGGAUAUGUAGUUGUUUAAUUACAAGGCAAGUUUAUUUUUUUCUUUACCCAUUUAUUGGGUGCUCCAGGACAGAUGUUAAGUACCAGAGUUUGUUGUCAUUUAUAUGUCACAUGGAAUUUGAACCCAAAUACCAUUCUUUUGUAGCAAGUCUCAUCAUGCAAAUUGUUUAAGUCUUGUGCUCAUUCAUUAUAUAUGGUCUAGUGCUAGUUUCCUCAAGAAAUUAGAUUCAGAAUUAUGUGUCA